UUAAGCGACUAAGCGUACACGGUGGAUGCCCUGGCAGUCAGAGGCGAUGAAGGACGUGCUAAUCUGCGAAAAGCGUCGGUAAGGUGAUAUGAACCGUUAUAACCGGCGAUGUCCGAAUGGGGAAACCCAGUGCAAUUCGUUGCACUAUCGUUAACUGAAUACAUAGGUUAACGAGGCGAACCGGGGGAACUGAAACAUCUAAGUACCCCGAGGAAAAGAAAUCAACCGAGAUUCCCCCAGUAGCGGCGAGCGAACGGGGAGCAGCCCAGAGUCUGAAUCAGCUUGUGUGUUAGUGGAACGGUCUGGAAAGUCCGACGGUACAGGGUGAUAGUCCCGUACACCAAAAUGCACAGGCUGUGAACUCGAAGAGUAGGGCGGGACACGUGGUAUCCUGUCUGAAUAUGGGGGGACCAUCCUCCAAGGCUAAAUACUCCUGACUGACCGAUAGUGAACCAGUACCGUGAGGGAAAGGCGAAAAGAACCCCGGCGAGGGGAGUGAAAAAGAACCUGAAACCGUGUACGUACAAGCAGUGGGAGCACCUUCGGGUGUGACUGCGUACCUUUUGUAUAAUGGGUCAGCGACUUAUAUUCUGUAGCAAGGUUAACCGUAUAGGGGAGCCGCAGGGAAACCGAGUCUUAACUGGGCGUUAAGUUGCAGGGUAUAGACCCGAAACCCGGUGAUCUAGCCAUGGGCAGGUUGAAGGUUGGGUAACACUAACUGGAGGACCGAACCGACUAAUGUUGAAAAAUUAGCGGAUGACUUGUGGCUGGGGGUGAAAGGCCAAUCAAACCGGGAGAUAGCUGGUUCUCCCCGAAAGCUAUUUAGGUAGCGCCUCGUGAACUCAUCUUCGGGGGUAGAGCACUGUUUCGGCUAGGGGGUCAUCCCGACUUACCAACCCGAUGCAAACUACGAAUACCGAAGAAUGUUAUCACGGGAGACACACGGCGGGUGCUAACGUCCGUCGAAGAGGGAAACAACCCAGACCGCCAGCUAAGGUCCCAAAGUCAUGGUUAAGUGGGAAACGAUGUGGGAAGGCACAGACAGCCAGGAUGUUGGCUUAGAAGCAGCCAUCAUUUAAAGAAAGCGUAAUAGCUCACUGGUCGAGUCGGCCUGCGCGGAAGAUGUAACGGGGCUAAACCAUGCACCGAAGCUGCGGCAGCGACACUAUGUGUUGUUGGGUAGGGGAGCGUUCUGUAAGCCUGCGAAGGUGUGCUGUGAGGCAUGCUGGAGGUAUCAGAAGUGCGAAUGCUGACAUAAGUAACGAUAAAGCGGGUGAAAAGCCCGCUCGCCGGAAGACCAAGGGUUCCUGUCCAACGUUAAUCGGGCAGGGUGAGUCGACCCCUAAGGCGAGGCCGAAAGGCGUAGUCGAUGGGAAACAGGUUAAUAUUCCUGUACUUGGUGUUACUGCGAAGGGGGGACGGAGAAGGCUAUGUUAGCCGGGCGACGGUUGUCCCGGUUUAAGCAUGUAGGCUGAUUGUCCAGGCAAAUCCGGAUAAUCAAGGCUGAGGUGUGAUGACGAGGCACUACGGUGCUGAAGUAACAAAUGCCCUGCUUCCAGGAAAAGCCUCUAAGCAUCAGGUAACAUCAAAUCGUACCCCAAACCGACACAGGUGGUCAGGUAGAGAAUACCAAGGCGCUUGAGAGAACUCGGGUGAAGGAACUAGGCAAAAUGGUGCCGUAACUUCGGGAGAAGGCACGCUGGUGUGUGUAGGUGAAGUCCCUGCGGAUGGAGCUGAGACCAGUCGAAGAUACCAGCUGGCUGCAACUGUUUAUUAAAAACACAGCACUGUGCAAACACGAAAGUGGACGUAUACGGUGUGACGCCUGCCCGGUGCCGGAAGGUUAAUUGAUGGGGUUAUCCGUAAGGAGAAGCUCUUGAUCGAAGCCCCGGUAAACGGCGGCCGUAACUAUAACGGUCCUAAGGUAGCGAAAUUCCUUGUCGGGUAAGUUCCGACCUGCACGAAUGGCGUAAUGAUGGCCAGGCUGUCCUCCACCCGAGACUCAGUGAAAUUGAACUCGCUGUGAAGAUGCAGUGUACCCGCGGCAAGACGGAAAGACCCCGUGAACCUUUACUAUAGCUUGACACUGAACAUUGAGCCUUGAUGUGUAGGAUAGGUGGGAGGCUUUGAAGCGUGGACGCCAGUCUGCGUGGAGCCAACCUUGAAAUACCACCCUUUAAUGUUUGAUGUUCUAACGUUGGCCCCUGACCGGGGUUGCGGACAGUGUCUGGUGGGUAGUUUGACUGGGGCGGUCUCCUCCCAAAGCGUAACGGAGGAGCACGAAGGUUAGCUAAUCCUGGUCGGACAUCAGGAGGUUAGUGCAAUGGCAUAAGCUAGCUUGACUGCGAGCGUGACGGCGCGAGCAGGUGCGAAAGCAGGUCAUAGUGAUCCGGUGGUUCUGAAUGGAAGGGCCAUCGCUCAACGGAUAAAAGGUACUCCGGGGAUAACAGGCUGAUACCGCCCAAGAGUUCAUAUCGACGGCGGUGUUUGGCACCUCGAUGUCGGCUCAUCACAUCCUGGGGCUGAAGUAGGUCCCAAGGGUAUGGCUGUUCGCCAUUUAAAGUGGUACGCGAGCUGGGUUUAGAACGUCGUGAGACAGUUCGGUCCCUAUCUGCCGUGGGCGCUGGAGAAUUGAGGGGGGCUGCUCCUAGUACGAGAGGACCGGAGUGGACGCAUCACUGGUGUUCGGGUUGUCAUGCCAAUGGCACUGCCCGGUAGCUAAAUGCGGAAGAGAUAAGUGCUGAAAGCAUCUAAGCACGAAACUUGCCCCGAGAUGAGUUCUCCCUGAGACUUUAAGUCUCCUGAAGGAACGUUAAAGACGAUGACGUUGAUAGGCCGGGUGUGUAAGCGCAGCGAUGCGUUGAGCUAACCGGUACUAAUGAACCGUGAGGCUUAACCU
rnacentral:rRNA from 1 species